GAUGAACGCUGGCGGCGUGCCUAAUACAUGCAAGUCGAGCGAACAGACGAGGAGCUUGCUCCUCUGACGUUAGCGGCGGACGGGUGAGUAACACGUGGAUAACCUACCUAUAAGACUGGGAUAACUUCGGGAAACCGGAGCUAAUACCGGAUAAUAUAUUGAACCGCAUGGUUCAAUAGUGAAAGACGGUUUUGCUGUCACUUAUAGAUGGAUCCGCGCCGCAUUAGCUAGUUGGUAAGGUAACGGCUUACCAAGGCAACGAUGCGUAGCCGACCUGAGAGGGUGAUCGGCCACACUGGAACUGCGACACGGUCCAGACUCCUACGGGAGGCAGCAGUAGGGAAUCUUCCGCAAUGGGCGAAAGCCUGACGGAGCAACGCCGCGUGAGUGAUGAAGGUCUUCGGAUCGUAAAACUCUGUUAUUAGGGAAGAACAAAUGUGUAAGUAACUAUGCACGUCUUGACGGUACCUAAUCAGAAAGCCACGGCUAACUACGUG
rnacentral:rRNA from 1 species